CGCGUAGGCGGGUCGCCAAGUCUGGGGUGAAAUCUUUCGGCUUAACCGGAAAAUAGCCCUGGAUACUGGCGAUCUCGAGGGAGGUAGGGGCAUGUGGAACUUCCGGUGGAGCGGUGAAAUGCGUUGAUAUCGGAAGGAACGCCGGUGGCGAAAGCGACGUGCUGGACCUCUACUGACGCUGAGGCGCGAAAGCCAGGGGGAGCAAACGGGAUUAGAUACCCCGGUAGUCCUGGCCCUAAACGAUGGGUACUAGGUUGUGGACUAGACAUGGGUUCACAGCCGAAGCAAAAGUGCUAAGUACCCCGCCUGGGGAGUAUGGUCGCAAGGCUGAA
rnacentral:rRNA from 1 species